AUGAUAUACUUUAUGUUCUAUCACAAAUUUGAUUUGUUUUAGGUGAUGUACAUGAAUGGCGGUAGAUGGUUGAGGAUUGAGGGAAUGUAGAUGCGACUAGCGAGCACUUACUCUGAGGUGCUUUCAGAUGAUGGAUUAAUAAGACUGUUUGGACAAAAUUCUGAUUUUUUUAACACUUGUUCCAUGUGCGAAUGUUCUGGGAGCACCAACUCCAACUGCUGACAAG